AUGUUAUGGUGCGGACACGACCGCUGCAAAGCCUUGAAUCUAUCCCAGGCUUCUCGAAGUGACUCUCCAGGUUCUUGCGUGAAUGUAGUCAACUUGUGUCUUAUUUC
rfam:Spinacia oleracea cultivar SynViroflay scaffold30884.con0001.1, whole genome shotgun sequence.